rnacentral:rRNA from 1 species
CGGAAGGGUCGGGUACCCGUUGAACCUCUUUCGUGCUAGGGAUUGGGGCUUGUAAUUGUUCCCCAUGAACGAGGAAUUCCCAGUAAGCGCGAGUCAUAAGCUCGCGUUGAUUACGUCCCUGCCCUUUGUACACACCGGCCGUCGCUACUACCGAUUGGAUGGUUUAGUGAGAUCCUCGGAUUGGUCUCGACAUGGUGGGCAAACUCCGCGUCGAUGUGCCGAGAAGACGAUCAAACUUGAUCAUCUAGAGGAAGUAAAAUGGUCGUAACAAGGUUUCCGUAGGUGAACCUGCAGAAGGAUCAAGCUUGGA